rnacentral:misc_RNA from 2 species
GAAAUGCGAUAAGUAAUGUGAAUUGCAGAUACAGUGAAUCAUCGAAUCUUUGAACGCAAAUGGCACUCUAUGGUAUUCCGUAGAGUACGUCUGUUUGAGCGUCGCGAACAUCUCCACAAUUAGUUUUUUUUAAUUAGUUGAGGGUUUUGAGGUUGUCAUAUAAACAAUGACUCCCUUUAAAAUAAUUAGUGAUGACCUUAUGAAUGGGUUAAUACUGUGUGUUAUAAUGGAUUACAUCCAUCACCAGUCAGAGAGUAAUCUCGCCUUAGUAAUUUGUAGUGAUUGCUUCUAACUGCCAUUGGCAAACAAACUGAUCAAAUCGACCUCAAAUCAGAUGGGAUUACCCGCUGAACUUAA